AUUGAACGCUGGCGGCAGGCCUAACACAUGCAAGUCGAGCGGAUGACGGGAGCUUGCUCCUUGAUUCAGCGGCGGACGGGUGAGUAAUGCCUAGGAAUCUGCCUGGUAGUGGGGGACAACGUUUCGAAAGGAACGCUAAUACCGCAUACGUCCUACGGGAGAAAGCAGGGGACCUUCGGGCCUUGCGCUAUCAGAUGAGCCUAGGUCGGAUUAGCUAGUUGGUGGGGUAAUGGCUCACCAAGGCGACGAUCCGUAACUGGUCUGAGAGGAUGAUCAGUCACACUGGAACUGAGACACGGUCCAGACUCCUACGGGAGGCAGCAGUGGGGAAUAUUGGACAAUAGGCGAAAGCCUGAUCCAGCCAUGCCGCGUGUGUGAAGAAGGUCUUCGGAUUGUAAAGCACUUUAAGUUGGGAGGAAGGGCAGUAAGCGAAUACCUUGCUGUUUUGACGUUACCGACAGAAUAAGCACCGGCUAACUCUGUGCCAGCAGCCGCCGUAACAC
rnacentral:rRNA from 1 species